rnacentral:lncRNA from 1 species
CCACUAUUUGUGUGUGUCAAUCACUACGGAGGCGGGGCACUGAUGUCCAAGACUUCCACCACCCCCCAAAAAAAAACACAAACCUGAGAGAGGCGAGAGGAGGAACGGGGGACUCAAGGAGGAGAGAGUAAACGGGGAGGAAGCAAGGACGCGAGGAAGGAGGAGGCGAGGCGAGGGUACGAGUGGGGAGGGAACCAGUCCGAUUCAAUGGAAUACAAACUACGCAGUUACUUUUCUUUUUCCGUCUGCACUUCCCGCGCGAAUGGAGGAUAGACUUCUUUCUGCUUUUUCGCGCAGUGAAAAGCCCCGGACAUAUGUGUCGUUCGGAAUUCUUUCUCGGAGCCCAAAACGAUGUGCAAUCGUAUUCUACGCGCUCCUGUGACUGUGCAAAAAAAAAAAAAACCGAGCCCAUCCCGUCAUGCCAUACUACAAGCUCUCUCCGGUGGGCGUUUAUCUCAGUCCACACGCCGCUGUCCUCCUGCUCAUGUCUGCAGAGAGAGCGUGUGGAUUUAUAACCUUGUUUUAUUUCCUUUCUAACGAUCUGCUGCGUCACUCGUGGCACUGGCUGGCAGCAGGACGGUACCGACAUGGACACGGAGAGCGGUGCAGAUUCGACAGUGCCGCUGCGGUGGCGCCGUGGUUCGGCUUCACGUCACCUUUACAAGUACAGGCGAAAGGGGGAUCAUGUGCAGAGGAGGACCGAGGCGUGAGGACCGAGGCGUGAGGAGCCUGCAGCCUCUGACCUCAGGUGAACACUACAGCCUCUGCAGGACAUCAGCAUGGCCCCCAGGGGCGUGACAUGCUGCAGCGCUUUUGAACCUCCCUCUGUCGACUCCUCAGGGUGUAGGAGCCUCCAGGGAGAUGAUCUGCUGGAGGAGCUGAGACUCCACGCAACUGUGAAACACUAUUUUGGUGCUACUCUCAAAGGCUGGAUGCAUCACGCGGUGGAGCCGUUUGGCGGGCGUGGCGCGCGGGACCCCUUCCCUCUGGACGGACUGAGCCGGGCCCCAUGGGGUCCCGUGGGGGGCCGCGCCUGGCAGCCGUCUGCCAGAUGUUCACCCGGAAUGAACCAACACCAGCUCCUUCCUCAUCUACCUCCUGGGCCCAUCGCCGGACUCAACCACCACCACAGUAAAUUCUUCAACAAUGGCCCCAUCCGAGGAGCAGAGAAGCUGGACAUGCCUCCUCAAAUGUUGGCGGAUCUUCAGAGGGAGCAGAAACCUCCUCACUUCCCCCCUCCCCCUCACCGCGCCUGGGAGCUGGGCCCGCUGUACGCCCCUCCUCUGCAGGUGCCUCUGCCCAGUGAGCACUCUCUGCGGCUGCACAACAUGGGCAUGGGCUACACCCCCGGAGGCCCGCCUCUGACCUCACACCUGCAGCCCAGCAGGCCCAGCCAGCCCCUCAAGUUCCCCGGGUCUCAGGAGCAGCACGUCCCCCGGGGCCCCCCCUUGUCAGGUGACGACAUGUGGGCUCAGGUGCACCAGCAGAGGGGCUACCCAGGGAAGAUGGUCGGGGGCCACUUAAAGAGACCAGGCCCCCCUCUCCCGGAGCACUCGGUCAUCCAGCACACUGCCCUGCCCCCCAGCACCCCGCCCCGCGCCUGGCUGAAGAUUGCCCCAGUCCCAGCAAGAGGAAGAAGGGCCCAGAACAGCAGCAGUUCUCAGGGCCUCCUCCACAGUCCCACGACCACACUGUACCCCCGAAACCUGCCUUCUGGAGCCCCCUUCACAAGGACAACGGCUCCUGGCAGAACCAAGCAGCGGAGCGCAAGAAGCCAGCGCGUGACAUUCAGGAAAGCAACAAACAGACCCCAGGAAGUUACACCUCAAAGUCUCUGGCCCCACCCACUCCCACUCAUUCGUCUCCAGGGAGCUAUAAACAUGGAUACGGCUCUCAGUACUACAAAGGCAAAGAGAAGCGCCCGUCGUAUGCCAACCCCAAGCCCCCAGGCCCCCCCUGCCCCUCCCUGGAGCCUCUGAGGGGGGCACAGCCCGGCGGCAGCCUGGGCGCCUCGGCUGUGGCAGCCAGCCCCAGCAGAGGGAGCAGAGAGCAGUACACGCUCAGUCAACAGUCACCAGCAGCCCCCCCUGUGACCAGCAGAAGCAGCAGUGUGCCUUACAGCCACUUGGGGCAUCAGGGCCCCGCUCUGCCCCCCCUCUGAGCUCCUCCUCGCUCACCCAGCAGAAUCACAGCGGGGCCCCCGAGCCCUGGAGGGGCCCCAGCAGAGCCCCUUCCCAGGUGAGGCUGCACGCACUCCAUCUCUUGACUUAAUGUCAACACGAGUGUGACAAUAUGACAUUAUGAAGAUUAUAUUCUGAAGACCAGUUAAAAGCCAGUGGCACAGUGUUGGGUUUUGAUAGGGCGGCCAGAUGACUGUACGGGACGUUUGAGAUGGAAUCAGAGGGGUGGGUGACCGGAUGAAUGUAUGGGACGUUUGAGAUGGAAUCAGAGGGGUGGGUGACCGGAUGAAUGUAUGGGACGUUUGAGAUGGAAUCAGAGGGGUGGGUGACCAGAUGACUGUACGGGAUGCUUGAGAUGGGAUCGGAGGGGUGGGCGACCAGAUGACUGUAUGGGACGUUUGAGAUGGAAUCAGGGGGUGGGUGAGGGGGGGGGGGGGGGGGGGGGGGGGUGGGGGGGGGGGGACCAGAUGAUGUAUGGGACGUUUGAGAUGGAAUCAGAGGGGUGGGUGACCGGAUGAAUGUAUGGGAUGCUUGAGAUGGAUCGGAGGGGUGGGGACCAGAUGACUGUAUGGGACGUUUGAGAUGGAAUCAGAGGGGUGGGUGACCAGAUGACUGUACGGGAUGCUUGAGAUGGGAUCGGAGGGGUGGGCGACCAGAUGACUGUAUGGGACGUUUGAGAUGGAAUCAGAGGGGUGGGUGACCGGAUGAAUGUAUGGGAUGCUUGAGAUGGGAUCGGAGGGGUGGGUGACCAGAUGACUGUAUGGGACGUUUGAGAUGGAAUCAGAGGGGUGGGUGACCAGAUGACUGUACGGGAUGCUUGAGAUGGGAUCGGAGGGGUGGGCGACCAGAUGACUGUAUGGGA